rnacentral:rRNA from 1 species
AUGAACGCUAGCGACAGGCUUAACACAUGCAAGUCGAGGGGCAGCACAGGUAGCAAUACCGGGUGGCGACCGGCGCACGGGUGAGUAACGCGUAUGCAACUUGCCUAUCAGAGGGGGAUAACCCGGCGAAAGUCGGACUAAUACCGCAUGAAGCAGGGGCCCCGCAUGGGGAUAUUUGCUAAAGAUUCAUCGCUGAUAGAUAGGCAUGCGUUCCAUUAGGCAGUUGGCGGGGUAACGGCCCACCAAACCGACGAUGGAUAGGGGUUCUGAGAGGAAGGUCCCCCACAUUGGUACUGAGACACGGACCAAACUCCUACGGGAGGCAGCAGUGAGGAAUAUUGGUCAAUGGCCGAGAGGCUGAACCAGCCAAGUCGCGUGAGGGAUGAAGGUUCUAUGGAUCGUAAACCUCUUUUAUAAGGGAAUAAAGUGCGGGACGUGUCCCGUUUUGUAUGUACCUUAUGAAUAAGGAUCGGCUAACUCCGUGCCAGCAGCCGCGGUAAUACGGAGGAUCCGAGCGUUAUCCGGAUUUAUUGGGGUUAAAGGGUGCGUAGGCGGCCUUUUAAGUCAGCGGUGAAAGUCUGUGGCUCAACCAUAGAAUUGCCGUUGAAACUGGGGGGCUUGAGUAUGUUUGAGGCAGGCGGAAUGCGUGGUGUAGCGGUGAAAUGCAUAGAUAUCACGCAGAACCCCGAUUGCGAAGGCAGCCUGCCAAGCCAUUACUGACGCUGAUGCACGAAAGCGUGGGGAUCAAACAGGAUUAGAUACCCUGGUAGUCCACGCAGUAAACGAUGAUCACUAGCUGUUUGCGAUACACUGUAAGCGGCACAGCGAAAGCGUUAAGUGAUCCACCUGGGGAGUACGCCGGCAACGGUGAAACUCAAAGGAAUUGACGGGGGCCCGCACAAGCGGAGGAACAUGUGGUUUAAUUCGAUGAUACGCGAGGAACCUUACCCGGGUUUGAACGCAUUCGGACCGAGGUGGAAACACCUUUUCUAGCAAUAGCCGUUUGCGAGGUGCUGCAUGGUUGUCGUCAGCUCGUGCCGUGAGGUGUCGGCUUAAGUGCCAUAACGAGCGCAACCCUUGCCACUAGUUACUAACAGGUAAAGCUGAGGACUCUGGUGGGACUGCCAGCGUAAGCUGCGAGGAAGGCGGGGAUGACGUCAAAUCAGCACGGCCCUUACAUCCGGGGCGACACACGUGUUACAAUGGCGUGGACAAAGGGAAGCCACCUGGCGACAGGGAGCGAAUCCCCAAACCACGUCUCAGUUCGGAUCGGAGUCUGCAACCCGACUCCGUGAAGCUGGAUUCGCUAGUAAUCGCGCAUCAGCCAUGGCGCGGUGAAUACGUUCCCGGGCCUUGUACACACCGCCCGUCAAGCCAUGGGAGCCGGGGGUACCUGAAGUCCGUAACCGCGAGGAUCGGCCUAGGGUAAAACUGGUGACUGGGGCU